rnacentral:rRNA from 1 species
ACGCUGGCGGCGUGCCUAAUACAUGCAAGUCGAGCGAACGGACGAGAAGCUUGCUUCUCUGAUGUUAGCGGCGGACGGGUGAGUAACACGUGGAUAACCUACCUAUAAGACUGGGAUAACUUCGGGAAACCGGAGCUAAUACCGGAUAAUAUUUUGAACCGCAUGGUUCAAAAGUGAAAGACGGUCUUGCUGUCACUUAUAGAUGGAUCCGCGCUGCAUUGGCUAGUUGGUAAGGUAACGGCUUACCAAGGCAACGAUGCAUAGCCGACCUGAGAGGGUGAUCGGCCACACUGGAACUGAGACACGGUCCAGACUCCUACGGGAGGCAGCAGUAGGGAAUCUUCCGCAAUGGGCGAAAGCCUGACGGAGCAACGCCGCGUGAGUGAUGAAGGUCUUCGGAUCGUAAAACUCUGUUAUUAGGGAAGAACAUAUGUGUAAGUAACUGUGCACAUCUUGACGGUACCUAAUCAGAAAGCCACGGCUAACUACGUGCCAGCAGCCGCGGUAAUACGUAGGUGGCAAGCGUUAUCCGGAAUUAUUGGGCGUAAAGCGCGCGUAGGCGGUUUUUUAAGUCUGAUGUGAAAGCCCACGGCUCAACCGUGGGGGGUCAUUGGAAACUGGAAAACUUGAGUGCAGAAGAGGAAAGUGGAAUUCCAUGUGUAGCGGUGAAAUGCGCAGAGAUAUGGAGGAACACCAGUGGCGAAGGCGACUUUCUGGUCUGUAACUGACGCUGAUGUGCGAAAGCGUGGGGAUCAAACAGGAUUAGAUACCCUGGUAGUCCACGCCGUAAACGAUGAGUGCUAAGUGUUAGGGGGUUUCCGCCCCUUAGUGCUGCAGCUAACGCAUUAAGCACUCCGCCUGGGGAGUACGACCGCAAGGUUGAAACUCAAAGGAAUUGACGGGGACCCGCACAAGCGGUGGAGCAUGUGGUUUAAUUCGAAGCAACGCGAAGAACCUUACCAAAUCUUGACAUCCUUUGACAACUCUAGAGAUAGAGCCUUCCCCUUCGGGGGACAAAGUGACAGGUGGUGCAUGGUUGUCGUCAGCUCGUGUCGUGAGAUGUUGGGUUAAGUCCCGCAACGAGCGCAACCCUUAAGCUUAGUUGCCAUCAUUAAGUUGGGCACUCUAAGUUGACUGCCGGUGACAAACCGGAGGAAGGUGGGGAUGACGUCAAAUCAUCAUGCCCCUUAUGAUUUGGGCUACACACGUGCUACAAUGGACAAUACAAAGGGCAGCGAAACCGCGAGGUCAAGCAAAUCCCAUAAAGUUGUUCUCAGUUCGGAUUGUAGUCUGCAACUCGACUACAUGAAGCUGGAAUCGCUAGUAAUCGUAGAUCAGCAUGCUACGGUGAAUACGUUCCCGGGUCU